rnacentral:rRNA from 1 species
UACGAAGGGGGCUAGCGUUGCCCGGAAUCACUGGGCGUAAAGCGCACGUAGGCGGCUUUCUAAGUCAGGGGUGAAAUCCUGGAGCUCAACUCCAGAACUGCCUUCGAUACUGGGAAGCUCGAGUCCGGAAGAGGUGAGUGGAACUCCGAGUGUAGAGGUGAAAUUCGUAGAUAUUCGGAAGAACACCAGUGGCGAAGGCGGCUCACUGGUCCGGUACUGACGCUGAGGUGCGAAAGCGUGGGGAGCAAACAGG